rnacentral:rRNA from 1 species
CUAGAAUACCAAGGCGCUUGAGAGAACUCGGGUGAAGGAACUAGGCAAAAUGGCACCGUAACUUCGGGAGAAGGUGCGCCGGUGAGGGUGAAGCAUUUACUGCGUAAGCCCAUGCCGGUCGAAGAUACCAGGCCGCUGCGACUGUUUAUUAAAAACACAGCACUCUGCAAACACGAAAGUGGACGUAUAGGGUGUGACGCCUGCCCGGUGCCGGAAGGUUAAUUGAUGGGGUUAGCUAACGCGAAGCUCUUGAUCGAAGCCCCGGUAAACGGCGGCCGUAACAAUAACGGUCCUAAGGUAGCGAAAUUCCUUGUCGGGUAAGUUCCGACCUGCACGUAUGGCGUAACGAUGGCGGCGCUGUCUCCACCCGAGACUCAGUGAAAUUGAAAUCGCUGUGAAGAUGCAGUGUAUCCGCGGCUAGACGGAAAGACCCCGUGAACCUUUACUAUAGCUUUGCACUGGACUUUGAAUUUGCUUGUGUAGGAUAGGUGGGAGGCUUUGAAGCGUGGACGCCAGUUCGCGUGGAGCCAACCUUGAAAUACCACCCUGGCAACUUUGAGGUUCUAACUCAGGUCCGUUAUCCGGAUCGAGGACAGUGUAUGGUGGGUAGUUUGACUGGGGCGGUCUCCUCCUAAAGAGUAACGGAGGAGUACGAAGGUGCGCUCAGACCGGUCGGAAAUCGGUCGUAGAGUAUAAAGGCAAAAGCGCGCUUGACUGCGAGACAGACACGUCGAGCAGGUACGAAAGUAGGUCUUAGUGAUCCGGUGGUUCUGUAUGGAAGGGCCAUCGCUCAACGGAUAAAAGGUACUCCGGGGAUAACAGGCUGAUACCGCCCAAGAGUUCAUAUCGACGGCGGUGUUUGGCACCUCGAUGUCGGCUCAUCACAUCCUGGGGCUGAAGCCGGUCCCAAGGGUAUGGCUGUUCGCCAUUUAAAGUGGUACGCGAGCUGGGUUUAGAACGUCGUGAGACAGUUCGGUCCCUAUCUGCCGUGGACGUUUGAGAUUUGAGAGGGGCUGCUCCUAGUACGAGAGGACCGGAGUGGACGAACCUCUGGUGUUCCGGUUGUCACGCCAGUGGCAUUGCCGGGUAGCUAUGUUCGGAAUAGAUAACCGCUGAAAGCAUCUAAGCGGGAAACUAGCCUCAAGAUGAGAUCUCACUGGGACCUUGAGUCCCCUGAAGGGCCGUCGAAGACUACGACGUUGAUAGGUUGGGUGUGUAAGCGCUGUGAGGCGUUGAGCUAACCAAUACUAAUUGCCCGUGAGGCUUGACC